AUUGGUUAUAGUUCCUUCCGUCAAAUACGGAAAAGAUGCAGUCGCCAUUUUACAUCGUCGAUUUUUACAUCGUGUGUGUGCACUUUGCGAGUUAAAUUCUUACUACGUGGACAUAAAACAUUUAGUGGCAUAUUUUUAUUAAUUUUUAAUUGGCAAAAGUUGAUAAGAGAAUAUGGGACGUAAAAAGAAGAAGCAAUCAAGACCCUGGUGUUGGUAUUGUAAUAGAGAAUUUGAAGAUGAAAAGAUUCUUAUACAACAUCAGAAAGCAAAACAUUUCAAAUGCCACAUAUGUCAUAAGAAGCUUUAUACGGGACCAGGACUUAGUAUACAUUGUAUGCAGGUACAUAAAGAAGCGAUAGACAAGGUACCUAAUUCUUUGCCGAAUCGAAGCAAUAUUGAAAUAGAAAUUUAUGGCAUGGAAGGCAUACCACCAAACGAUGCGAAAGAGCAUGAAAGACAAAGAAAUGGAGGUAGACCUGGUUCACCAAGUUCUGGUGAAGAUGAACCAGUUCGAAAAAAAGCAAAACCAGAAGGUUUAUUAGGUUCUGCACCAGGAGCAAUGCCUACAGGUUCCAACAUGAUGCCAGGUGUAAUGCCAGGUAUGGCAGCUCAUCCUGGUAUGCCACCAAUGGGAUCGUUCCCACCACCCAUGCAUCAUAUGAUGGGACCUAUGGGUCCUGUAGGUCCACCUUUCAUGGGUCCUGGUAUGAUGCCUGGAAUGCCGGGUAUGCCUCCAGGUAUACAACCACCAGUAUCUGGUGCAUCCAUACCACCAACACGACCAUUAUUUCCAAGUGCUGCAGCUGUUUCAACAACUGCGUCUACAUCUGUGACUUCUCCUUUGGGUACAGAUUUUAAACCAAUUACGUCAGUGGCUGGUGGAUCUAUAGGACCUGUGAAGCCAACAUUCCCUGCAUAUAGUAAUACAGAUAGUAGUACCACUACUAACAAUAAUAUUGGUAGUGAUCAAAAAGUAAAUCUUAUAGCCACUACUAGUGCUGCCAUUAAAAUCAUUCAUCCGCCAGAAGAUCUCAGCCUAGAGGAAAUUAGAGCAAGACUUCCAAAAUAUCAGCGGCGACAAACGCAAGAAACUCGAACUGUGCAAACUGCUGAUGCCAAUCAGCAAGCUGCUGUAUUACAACAGCAGCAGCAACAACAACAACAACAGCAGCAACAGCAGCAACAAGCUGCUGUUGCUAAUGCAGCUGCUGCAUUUCAGGAUCAGCAACAGCGACAACAAGCGGCAUUAAAUGCACUUCAGCAGCAACAGCAGAGAUUUCAGCGACCUCCACAAGCAGUAAUGGUUCCUGCAUCUGCAGCAAUGCCUGUUAGUUCUGUUGCACUGAUGGCACCGCUUAUGCGGCCCACUAUGACCCUAGCUGCACCUGCUCUGAUUCAUGGAGGUAACAUGAUGCGACCGCCCCCCAUGGGCCUACCACCAGGUGGGUCGAGCGGCCAACGAUAUUGCAUCUGUUCUGAUUCCUUCAACGCCGGACAGCAACACUUUAAUUUUGGACACACGACUUUUUGGACAUGAAAUGCCUCUUCUUGAAACUAGUGUACUCGGUAUCAGAAGUACGAUCACACUAGAUUUAUGGUUAAAAGCAGGCAUAUGUAUAUGUAUGUAUAUUAUACGCAUAAGUCUGCUUUUCAACUACGAUAGAGAAAUACGCGUUAUAUAUAUACAUAUAUAUUCAUCGACCGGUAAAAGCAAUGUGAAAUUAAUUCGAUUUUCGGCCGCUCGGCUGGUUCAUCGUACAUACAAUUUUUUUUCUUUUCUGUUCCACUAGCCUCAUUAAUCACUAUCUCGACUUAAUCAUAUUCUUCUUAGGACUCACUUGCCAAUAUCUCGCCAACCGUGUUUUAUCAUCCUACCUUCUCAUAAUUAUAUAUGAAAUCCUGGUGUUGUGAUAUAGUAGUGAAAAAACCGCUUUUUGGGCACGGUACUGACAGUCGUUCGAAGUUGUUAUUCUAAGUAAAAGAUAAGGAAAACAAGAAAGGAGGAAAAAGCAGAAGAAACAUUUUUGUUUGUUUAUGCUGAUGCAUAAUUUCAAUAAUAACUAUUCCUUCCUUCUUUAUAUUUCUUCAAGGGCUUCAAAUUUUUUUAGUUUCAGAUUAAAAGUAAAAUAUGAAUUGCUACUUCGAUGGUUCUAUAUUAUUUAUUAUUUAUUAUUAUAUCAGCAUUGUUGAUAUCAACAAAUUUGUUCUACAUCAUUUUUCACAAAAACUUCUCUUAUCUUUUUUAACAAAUUUUUUAAAUGAAAUAGUAUAUUACAACAAAAAAAGACGAAGGAAGGGAUCAUUUGUUAUUGUCACUGUUUUUGUUAUUGUUGCGUGUAUUAUAAUAGAAAGAGACGCAACAAGAACGAACGUAAUGUAUUUCCCUCACACCAUAGCCUACCUUUUGUGUCACACAGAUGAUCUUAGAUAUUUCAAGUCAAGUUACAGUAAGUAAAUAAUUUCACGUUAUCCAAUAUAUACAAAAGUAUAACUCGUAUAUAAAUCUAAAUGCAGCUAUUUCUAAUACGUAUAUCAAAUGAUAGACAAUGAUGAGACAGUCUAAUUUAACAUUGACGAAUAAGGGGAUUAUAAUCUUUUCGCAGUUAUAUCACGUAAUAGUGAAUACUGUUGAUUAGAAUGAAAUUCUAAGCAAAACAAAUUUCUGAAAAAUAGAAAUUAAUUUGAAUAAUACAAAAAGACUUAUUAUGUACAGGGUGUCUACGAAAUAUACAAAAAAUGUAGGAACGUUUUUUUAUUGUUCCUUUUUCGUAGAUUAUGAUGUAUAUAUUAAAUUUUUCUUUUAAAGUUUUCAAGGUUAUUUGAAGCUCGUUUUGCAUCGUUUAAAUGCUAUAUGCCAUACUACAAUAAAAGAGCAAAAAAGUCAAAUUCAAAUCGUUUUCAUAUGGUUUUGAAUCAAUGCAAAGUCACAAUAGAGAUGAUAAUGUAGAAACAGACAAGUAUUACUUUUUAUUUACUUUGUUUCUGCGCAAGAAUAACUAUUUGUUGUGACAUAUUUGCACAUGCACCCGUAAUUCGACUCUUCAUAUUUUUCAUGUAUCCUCAAUAUAUCCUCAUAAAAAAAAUCUAAGGUAUUAAGCCCGGUCAUCUUGCAGGCCAAUUAUUGUGUUCCACUACAUCCAGCUUGGGAAUUUGUGUAAGCUAGAUUCAUAAUCUUAAAGUGAUGCGAAUGUAACGAAUGUUGUCGCAACAGAUUGGAAAUUACUGUAAAAAUCUUUGGACCAUUUUGUAGUUAUUUUCGUUUAAAGUAAAUGAUUUUCCACGUGUUAGAAUAAAUGUAUUCAAGAUAAAUAGUUGCUUUUCGUUUUCAAACAUAAUACUGCUGUGUUUAGUAACUGAUGUGCAAAUUUUGAACGUACAAUGCAAACAAAGGGAGUAAAAGAACAAAAAAAUUCUAUCCUUGUUUGUUCCAACAUUUUCUCUAUUACGACCUUACAUUCAUUCAAGGUCAUUUGGAAGUAACGUUUUGAAUUUGUUGUGUUUUUUUUACUCUUUUAUCAUACGAAAACAGAAGUAUGAUAUCCCAUUUAAAAAAUGCAAAGUGUCUUUCAAAUAAUUUUGGAAAUUUUAAACGAAAACUUGUUUAUUUAAAUCGUCGUAACCCAUGUGAAAAACAAUACAAAAAAUGUACAUCUUUUCAUGUCAUCUACCGUUUGGCUGUUAUUUCAAAUGGCAGAGAUUAGUAGUCACCCUACAUAUAUAAAACAUACAAAGUAAAAUAUACAACAUGCAUUCACAUUAUUACAAUUCUUUGAAAUUAAUAAAAAUCAUACUUAAAAUUAGUAUAGAAAAGAAAAAUUAUCGUUUAAUAUCUAUUUUAUCAUCCUGUAUUUAUUCGUAGAUGCUCUUUUAUCAUAUCUAGUGCCUUGAAAGUUCGGCUGGCAGCCGAGCGAUUCGCUUACAUUAUGAAAACUGUAAUCGUCAAGUGAAACUACUCGUUUAUGGUGUGAGGUUUUACGUGGUAUCACUUUGGGAUUUUGUUAUGACUUGUAUUGCAUAUGCGGCACAUUGCAUGCUGAGUUCGAUUCCUCAUAUAGUUUGACCAUUUGCAUUUAUAAAAUCUUAGAUAGACGUAGGUGUGCUGCAAAUAAUAAACUCUUCUGGGUGUAUAAUGUAGUCCUAGAAAACUUGAGACUAUAUGAUUUGAUCAUUUUGCAAAAGAGUACGUAUCGGACAAAUACAAGUUAAUUCAAGGACAAUAUCACUUGGUAUUCUGAACUCUCUUUCUUUUUGUUUUACCUUGGUUUCUAUUUUAAAAGUUUGUCUAAUAAUUUAACCUAAAUUUGAAUUUAUCGUCGAAAUCUUUUGAUUUAUUAAGAAAUUUGUUUGCGAAUAUUGUGCGAGAAAGUGCUAUCGACCGGCUGUCAGACAACUUUCCGUCCAGAAGGAUAACAAUUCUUCUAGAUAAAUUCAAAAUGCAUUGAAAGAAAUAAGAUUAGAACGUAUCGUAAUUAAUAUAUAUAUAUAUAAUUUUUAUUGAAAAAAGAUAACGUUAAUAAAUCGAUGGUUAAAUUUGAAAGUAUCUUUUACAAAUUUUGUAACUAUCUUGCGAGAUAUACUUUUCUACCGAAUGACGAGGCGCGAUCUCUAAAAAGAAAUCUCUAGAAAUAAAUAUAAAAUUUUGACCGAAUUUGAGAAAGAAGAUGGAGUAUAAAGAGAGGAGAAGAAUGUGUGUGUUCGUACAUACGCGCAUGCGCGUGCGUUUACGCAUAGAUACACAGACACACAUGUAAUUUCAUUUUAUUUAUGUUUGACGAGUAUUUUCCCGACGUAAGUAUCAUAAGAAGAUUUUUACAGAUUGUCGAAAACCUGUGAUAUAAGAGAUGUAAAAAAGAGAAUGGCAGAGAGAAACGAUAGAAUUAUCAGGGAUAUAUGAAAUUGACGGUGAAAUUGUCGUUUACAGGGAUGAUCGGAGCUUUGCCGCCAGGAGCGAUGCAUCCGGCAUUCGCAGCUCCAAUGGGUUUUCCUGGUGCACCAAUGUUAGCUCCGAUGAUGCAUCCACGCUUCAGAUGAUCACCUCCUAUGGACGGGCCCACUCCGCCAUUGCACUUCGUGCUCUGGGCCCGCCCCUAAAUUUUAUUAGGGUCCGGACCUGACUGAGAAGAAGAGACAAGCACGCGUAAAACACGUUAGCUCACGUGGGCACACUUCGUUGAUCGGCCGCGGCUGCACUUGACGCAUCCUCUCCUACGAAGUUUACACGAAAGAAACGGAAAUCGGGCACGUAAACGUAUUACGAAAGUGUGGCGAAGACGGUGCAAGAGGAGGCUGCAAACUAAAGCCAUGGGGGAGAUAUUUUCUCCUUACUGUAUGUUGAUGAUAAUAGAGAUUAUGAAUUAUUGUACAAAGUUAAUUGUAAUUCAGUUGGUUUGACUGUGAAAAUACGAAUUCGUCUAAAUCACUUUUUUCACUUCCUAAAGGUUCAUCACCUCAGUAGGCACCCUGUUUGUCUAUUCUUUCUCUCGACUUCUAUCAUUACUUCGAGAAAAAUUAUGAAACAGCAUACCGCGCCGUACAACACGUGUACGUACCUAAAACAACUACGCAUCGUUAUGAAUAUACUUCAUUUUCAGGGGUUGUCUUUCCGAAUCGUGUCUUUCCGCUCUGCUGUCGUUUCAUCGGAAUCAGAGGUGAUCUACCGUGUCUACUUUUAACAGGCCGAUAGAAUUCAGUGCUGCGGAAACACUCCCAGCCUCGAAAAUCGUUUCUCGUCUCUCGAGGCUGUUCAACUACGGCCAGACAUUGUUUCUUUCAUUUCGUUUUGAUUGUGAGAUUCGGCAGGACAAUCUGACGACAGAAUUGGACAUGUAGAAGUUCUGUUAUUUAUUGAGUGUCACAUUAUCAACUUGUUCCGAAUAAAGACGUUCUGUGGAAA